rnacentral:rRNA from 1 species
GAUGAACGCUGGCGGCGUGCUUAACACAUGCAAGUCGAACGAAGCACUUUAUUUGAUUUCCUUCGGGACUGAUUAUUUUGUGGCUGAGUGGCGGACGGGUGAGUAACGCGUGGGUAACCUGCCUUGUACAGGGGGAUAACAGUUGGAAACGGCUGCUAAUACCGCAUAAGCGCACAGCAUCGCAUGAUGCAGUGUGAAAAACUCCGGUGGUAUAAGAUGGACCCGCGUUGGAUUAGCUAGUUGGUGAGGUAACGGCCCACCAAGGCGACGAUCCAUAGCCGACCUGAGAGGGUGACCGGCCACUUUGGGACUGAGACACGGCCCAAACUCCUACGGGAGGCAGCAGUGGGGAAUAUUGCACAAUGGGCGAAAGCCUGAUGCAGCGACGCCGCGUGAGCGAAGAAGUAUUUCGGUAUGUAAAGCUCUAUCAGCAGGGAAGAUAAUGACGGUACCUGACGAAGAAGCACCGGCUAAAUACGUG